rnacentral:pre_miRNA from 1 species
AAAACAAGAGUCAUUCAGACUAGCCAAGGUGAUUGCCUAUAGAACCACAUACAGAUUUCUUUUACAUAAGAGUAAUAGAAACCUCUUGGAGGAUGUAGGCAAGUCAUCCUUGGCUAUCAGACAAAGACUCUUAUCU